rnacentral:rRNA from 1 species
CCUACGGGAGGCUGCAGUGAGGAAUAUUGGUCAAUGGCCGGAAGGCUGAACCAGCCAUGCCGCGUGAAGGUCAGUGCCCUAUGGGCGUUAAACUUCUUUUGUGCGGGAGCAAUAAUGGUCACGUGUGGCCAGACGAGAGUACCGUACGAAUAAGCAUCGGCUAACUCCGUGCCAGCAGCCGCGGUAAUACGGGGGAUGCAAGCGUUAUCCGGAUUUAUUGGGUUUAAAGGGUGCGUAGGCUGUGAGGUAAGUCAGCGGUGAAAUGCCCCCGCUCAACGGGGUGAAGUGCCAUUGAUACUGCCUGGCUUGAAUGCGGAUGCGGUGGGAGGAAUGUGUGGUGUAGCGGUGAAAUGCAUAGAUAUCACACAGAACACCGAUUGCGAAGGCAUCUCACGAAUCCGCGAUUGACGCUGAUGCACGAAAGCGUGGGUAUCAAACAGGAUUAGAUACCCUAGUAGUC